rnacentral:lncRNA from 1 species
CAACUGUUUUUUUGUUUUAUGAAUCAGAGGUCAGGUCUCAUUUACAAAUAUAUAUCUGAGUCAUCAGCAGUAUAUCACUGUAACUAGACUUUACUGCUUACUCUUCAUGGCUGAAUACUAUACAGCAGAACAAUCAUUAAUUGUAUCACAUUCGUUCGGUUUGCAGACGGAUGAGAACACCAUGUACGUUUCACCUCCUGUUCAUCCGCUUAGAAAUGUUCAAGAGCUGAUGGCUGAGAACAGCAAGAGGCUCCUGGCUCGUGCAGUCCUGACGUCUCAAACCCAGAGACAUCAUUACAUCCUAGACCUGAGUACAGGCACGGGCACCGUGGAGACCUGGAGAGGUGUGACUUUGGAGGUGAUCCAUGGAGGACCCAAAUGACUGAGAGUGGGACGCCCGUGCCACUUUUCAGACAGGCUGUAAAAUGGCAGCUGCCAAACGCGUCAUUCACAACAGCUCCCUGCAUGUCUGUUCUGAGUUCCGACGGGAGAGCGAUUCUUUCAGAGGCAGGAUGGGCCCAUGAGAGGACCUGGGACCCAGAGAUCAGACAUGCCUGGGGGGUGGCAUGCAGGUGGUCCACGGAGUGGACCCAGGAGCCGGGCAGAGAGGGGGGAAGGCCCCUCUGGUGUUCGGUGGGUGUCUGUGUGCGCGUCUGUGUGGGUGCACACGCGACUGCAUUGUGCUGGGAAGGACAGGGUCCUGGGAGUUGGGUGAGCUUGCAGAUUGGUGGCAGCCGCUUCAACCAUCCCCAAGGUGCCCGUUGCCCUUACAUGGCAGUGGAAACGAGAACCCCUCUCUGUGUCACCCCUCACACCCCCUCUGCAGAGUAUUUAUUGCAUUCUCUGACAUCUUCUUAACUAAACACUUCAGCAAAAAUCUAAAAAUGCAACAAGUACACGUUAUGUCAUCUGUGAUACAUGGCAACUCGGUGAAUUAGGUAGACAUUAAAAUUGUUAUAAAGAUUGUAUAGAAAGUUAGGGAUAUAUUUAUAAAAUGUUAUUAAGUAACAUGUAUUAUUAUUGUUAUUAUUAGUAGUAUGAUUAUUAGUAUUAUUUUGGCCCUGCUUGCGAAGUUCCAGGGCCAGGGAUCGAAACCAUGCCACAGCAGUGACAAGGCCGGAUCCUUAAACUGCUAAGCCAUCAGGGACCCCAUAACGUGUAUUUUCAAGCAUAGAAAACAUCUACAUCGUUACAGCUUUAAAAAAAAUUUGAAACAAAACAACAUGCAAAACAUAAAACUUGUGAGAGUUGUGACAAUCUGUUUCUUAAAUAAUUUUGAAAAGUGUGUUAUGGCAAAACAGUUAAUUCAAAGCUACCUUUCUCCUGUCCCUUUUCUUCUCAGAAUUACAAGAUGAUAAACCAUCCUCAGGCCUGAACCCACAAUAACAGAGCUGUCUAUAACUGCUCAGGAGUCACUAACCUUGAAAGGUCAAAAACCAUCCCAGGUGAAGUGAGGUCCGCAAGAGAGGAGCUGGUGGGUAGCUCCCCGCCAGGCCUGUUCUCAGCAGCCAGAGCCUGAGCUACCUGUUCCAGCAGCUUGGAAAUUGCCUGAUGCAGCACAGGUGAGCAGCCCGUAGCAGCUGCCCGGGCAGCAGGCUGGGCGAGGCUCUAGGACAACACAGGAGGGAGGGUGUCUGGGCUCAGAGGUGUGAAGCGCUCAAACGCUGACCUUUUACUUGGACGACUUCCGAGUGAACUAGACUCUGAGUUGGUUCAAGCCGCCUCCCGUGCUGGGCUCCAGAGCGACGGAUUUCCGGCCUGCCUGUGUGGGGAUGGAGGGAGAGCUUGGAAGUGCCGACUUCCUGUGAUGACAGCCCAUAAAUACCGCAGGAUGGAAAUGCCAGGGGCUGGCCCCUCCGCGGUGGCAUUGCGUAAACAAGACAUGCAGUCAGAGAAAUAUUAGCCUGAAUGUCAAGUUUGCCUCCAGUGAACUCAGUGAGACGGCCAAUCCUCUUCCCCUGGGGGAAGAGGCCCAGAGGAAGAAGUACCAGCUGCUGAGGCAUCAGGAGGGCUGCAGCAGACUUUGGUGGAGAGGGGACCCCCGCCCACCCCUGCGGGAUCCGCAGGGGAAACGCUUGUGAACUGGAAGCGCCUUAGUACCAGGGUGAUGUGGGUGUGUGGGCAAGAGCACUGGGAGAAGGUGAUGAGAAGGUCUUUUUCAGAGGAAAACAAUGGGAGCUUCCAUCUCAUUGUGAUGCUUCCUUGUUCUGCCUUUGGCUCUUCCAAUCCCCAGGAAUCCCAAGGCUAGAAAUGCUCUAGCAUCAAGUUAAUUCCACCCACGGGUCUUAAAAAUGGUUCUGUUAAAUGGAAGCGAUGAACGAAAUAAAAACUUACAGAUAAAACUUGAAACAGCGAUGCACUGAAAUGAAAAAUGCAAACUUCACCUGCAGUCUUUUGAUGAGAAUAGGUCUACGGAGGCGCCUCCUCCUAAGCACAGUCUGGAAUUUGGGUAUCUAAUGAGGGGCGCGCAGUGGGAUUAAGCUUUGCCCCGUUAGUCCCCUAGGGAGUCAUAACCUGGGCAUGAACAACUAAAAGGAAAAAAAAGGAAUUUAAUAUACAACAUCUUUAUACUGGCUCUGUAAACACUGUAACCCUUAAUUCACGGCUACUGGUUGUUUAAACCAGUCAGUAAUUUGCUUCACUCUUUAAAAGCAAGAAACAUGUUUUGUGCAUUUUUAUCAUCAAAAUGUUAGUUACCUUCAUAACAAAUUCAAGUCAAGCCUCAACAUACAAUAGUUUAUAAAGAAAAUUUAGGACUUCCCACCGUGGUGUAGCGGAAACAAAUCCGACUAAGAACCAUGAGGUUGCGGGUUCAAUCUCUGUCCUCGAUCAGUGGGUUAACGAUCCGGCAUUGCCUUGAGCUGUGGUGUAGGUUGCAGAAGUGGCUCGGAUCUGUCAUUGCUGUGGCUGUGUUGUAGGCUGGCAGCUGAAGAUCUGAUUCGACCCCUAGCCUGGAAACCUCCGUAUGCCCUAAAAUGACAAAAGACAAAAAAAAAAAAAAAAAAAAAGAAAAGAAAAGAAAAAGAAAAUUUAGCAUAGCACACCAAACCUCAUAGGAUGCGGCUAGGGCCGUGCUUAGAGGGACCCUUAGCCAUAAAUGCGUGGGGAGGUCAAGCCCUACAAUUAAGCAAGAUAAUGAAAGAAAAGAUGUUCAGGUUGGAAAGGAAGAAAUAAAGAAAGUUAAGUUUCUUUAUUUCUGUUAAGUUUUGGGAGUUCCCGUUGCAGCUCAGCGGUAAUGAACCCGACUAGUACCUGUGAGGAUGCCGCUGUGAUCCCGGGCCUCACACAGUGGAUUAAGGAUCCGGGGUUACCGUGAGCUGUGGUGUAGGUCACAGAUGCGGUUCAGAUCCUGUGUUGCUGUGGCUGUGGUGUAGGCCAGGGGCUACAGCUCCAAUUUGACUCCUAGCCUGGGGACCUCCAUAUGCCACGAGUGCAGCCCU